rnacentral:rRNA from 1 species
GGGCGUAAGCGCGCGCAGGCGGUUCCUUAAGUCUGAUGUUUAAACCCCAGGCUCAACUUCGGAUCGCCCUGGAAACUGGGGGACUUGAGUGGAAAAAAAGAAAAUGGAAUUCCCCCUGUAACGGUGAAAUGGCUAAAUAUGUGGAAGAACCCCCGUGGCGAAAGGCACUCUUUGGGCUGGUACUGACCCUGAAGCACGAAAGCGUGGGGAGCAAACAGGAAUAAAUACCCUGGUAAUCCCCCCCCUAAACCAAGAAUGGUUAGUGGUAAGGGUUUCUAUACCCUUGAUGGCUAAAUUUACACCUUUAGCCUUCCCCCUGGGGAAUACCGGCCCCAGAAUGAAACUCCAAAGAAUUGACGGGGACCCCCCCCAGCCGUGGAAUAUGGGGUUUAAUUCCAAACCACCCCAAAAACCUUACCCAGGCCUGGCCUCCCUCUGACUCCUCUAGAGAUAGAAGCUGCCUUCCGGACACA